rnacentral:lncRNA from 1 species
AUCAAGACGUGAUGUCGGCGGUUACAGAUUGGGUUCUCGGAGCAGUUUCCAGUUCAGAUGAACUACCUAAGCCGUGCGCAUUUCCCCUGUCAUCCUCCGAGCCAGCGUCAGCAAAGCGAGAUUAUCUGGCUGGGUCCUGCUUCGCCGGCCGGUCUCUCCUCCGAGCCCCUUUCCCUCCGUUCCUCUGAUCGCUCUCCCCCUGGUGUUGUCUGGCCAGAGUUGCCAGGAGGGGCAGGGGGGUUUAUCUUUUUAUUUUGAUUUUUUUCAUGUUUCAAAGAAAGUUGGUAUUUUUCCUGUUAUAACGAGCUGUACCGAGCUAGUCAAAUGAGACCAGGACACGGGUCCAGUCCCAACACCCUCUGCUUUUAAUCAAUGACCAAACUUUGGGCUAGGAUUCAGGAAGCAGCUGGUGCCUGGACCCCGGUCAUGGCCUCCUGCUCUCGGUAGGGUGGAGUGGGUUGGAAUCGAGUAGUAAAUAGAGGUGCGGAUGGGGGCCGAGGGUUCCAGCCCAGCCUGGGUGGUGACCCUCCAAGCAGAUUAUUAAAACAUCCAUUGGAAAAAUCCAGGGCUUCCCGCCUCUCUCCGCACGCCCCCCCCCACCUCUUCCUCUUUCCAUGGUCAAAAGGCCCAAGCUAAACUCCCAGGAGCCAGGCUGGCCUCCCCAGUACCUGGAACUGGAUCUGCCCAACAAGGGACGCUGCCUGGCUAAAGAUAGUUAAAGCCCUUGGAGGGAGGGGAGGUGUUUUUGUGAGUCCAGCUGGACCACGAGCAUGACGAUCACUACCGUACUCGAGCACUCCUUUAGCACUUAUACGGAUAUAUCGCUUUUCAUGCUCCACUUAUUUGUUCCCUUAUUUUUCGCCUAUUCAUCUUCCAUACUCCUAGCAGUUUUCUCGUGGUUCUCUCGCUCCCACGGUUUGUAAAUCAUUUACGCCUCCCCGACUCCUCUAUUAGAUUAUAGGCUCCUCGAGGGCAGGGAGCGUGUCUUCUUUUACUUGUAUUGAAGAUUCCCAAGCACAGCACGCCAAAAGGGCUCAGUGAACAGUGAAGAAGUUGAAACAGAUUGAUGAACAGUGAAGAACUAGCCUCUGCUUCAGAGCCUCCCUUUUCCCCAGUCAAUCAAUCAAUCAAAACGUGAUAUUCGAGUAGUUAAAAUCAGGCAGAUGGCAGGAGCUAGGCCGAGGGGCCAGCUUCCAACCAGCUCCCGUGAACGUGUGCAGGCAACCAGGGAGCUGGGGAGAGCCCGUUUUCCGAAAAGUGAUCAGGGAGGAAGGAGAGAGGGAUUGUAAUGUUCUCGGGCCUCUCUUCCAGCUUGCACGUAGCCCGUCUGAGGGUAUUUUUUAUGGUAUUUGUUAAGCGCCAGGCACUGUGCUAAGCACUGAGGUAAAUACACGGUCGUCAGGCUGGACACCGUCCCUGUCCCGCAUGCUCGCAGUCUUAAUCUCCAUUUUACAGAUGAGGUAACUGAGGCAUAGAGAAGUUAGACGACUCGCCCAAGGUCACACGGCAGACAAGUGGCAGAGCCAGGAUUAGAACCCAGUUCCUUCUGACUCCCAGGCCUGGGCUCUUUCCACUAGUCCAAACUGCUUCUCCUCAGCCCCGAUGGCGGCAGCCGAGGGACACAGACGCAGCCAAGGGGAAUCCUUUCAAAUGGAAACUGGUAGAGAGACCGAGGCUGCAGCGUAUUCCUUGAGAUCUACUUUCUAUGAUCCACAGAGUGGAACCGUUAUCUGGGGAACUGCCCUGAUUCAUUCAUUCAAUAGUAUUUAUUGAGCGCUUACUAUGUGCAGAGCACUGUACUAAGCGCUUGGGAUGAACAAGUCGGCAACAGAUAGAGACAGUCCCUGCCGUUUGACGGGCUUACGGUCUAAUCGGGGGAGAUGGACAGACGAGAACAAUGGCAAUAAAUAGAGUCGAGGGGAAGAACAUCUCGUAAAAACAAUGGCAACUAAAUAGAAUCAAGGCGAUGUACAAUU